GAGAAGGAAGAUGUGCUUCUUGUUUCAGUAUGGUUGAAUACAAGUAAGGAUCCAGUGCUCGGUAUAAAUCAAACAUGUUCUGUAUUUUGGAGGAGAAUUUAUGACUACUUCCAUGAGAACAAGCAAUUUACAUCAGUUCGUAGCCUAAGUUCAAUUGCUCAUUGUUGGAGAACUAUUCAAGAAAAUGUGAACAAGUUUUGUGGGUGUGUUAGUCAAAUUGAGGGAAGAAGACAAAGUGGGUGUACCAUUGAGGACAAGGAGAAAUAGAAACCACAGAGAAUGAAGUGAUUAAGAGACCAAUGGGGGGAAAAAGGGCAAAGGAGCAACUGAGGAGAGGAGGGGGGGGUGAAGGAUGCUUAGAGGCUAUUGAACAUUUGUGGGAGAAAAAAGUGUUAGAUGUGGAAAAAGAGCAAAAGAAGGAAGAGAGGUAUAACCAGUCUUACAAACUAGACAUAGAUAGGCUUGAACUAGAGUAAAAAAGGGUUGCAAAUGAACUAGUUAGGGCUCAAGUUGAACAGGCGAGGGUUGCAAAGGAGGCUGAUGAAGUACAAUUGAAGAGAAUGUUAGAAGAAGAGAGGAUAAUGACAGUAGAUUUUACUUCAAUGCCUCUACUUCAACAACAGUACUACAAGAGCCUUCAAAAUGAGAUAAUUGCUCGUCGCACGAAAAACUCCGAUUGACCUUGGAUGCUUUAUAAAAAUAUCAAUGAGAGGAGUCGACAGAGCAUAUCAUUGUUUGGUGUUAGUAGUAUUUAUUUUGUGAGAUCCUUUGCAGCAACACUUCUGAAAUUAUUGUAGACUCAGUGCAAGUGGCCAGAGUACAUACCUUGAAAUGAAAUGCUGAAGGGCAAUUCUUCCACUUCCAAUGCAUGCAAUCUAUAGAACCUAACAUUCUAGGGAACCCUCUUUUCUUCGCAAGUGCAAGUAACCGAGCCAUAUCGUUUGUAUUAGGUGAUCUUAAGUACUCAUGUUCAAAAACUGCAACAACUGAUUUAACAAACCUUCUCAAACU